ACAAGUCCGGUUCUAUUUUUGCAACGAG
rnacentral:sRNA from 1 species